AACGCCGUAGCAAAGAGGAAUUGCGCAAGGCUCAUAUGUCUGACACCUUGAGAUCCCUGGAUCGAAACCAGGCGGCGUUA